GGGUGAUCACUAUCAAGUAUUCCUAAGUUUUCAUUAGUAUUUCUAGGUUGGCUACUAGUUUGAACUUGUUUAUCUUUUCUAAGGCGGGGAGCCGGGGGAGGGGUAGGAUUUUGGCGACUACUUUCACCGGAUUUAGAUGUACCUUUUCCUAAUAUUUUUUUCAAUGAAAAUGCCAUACUAAUUAUAAUUAAGCAAAAUAAAAACACACAACAAAUAUUCUUAGCAGCAGCGGUGAAUCUUCAACGUCUCCUUCUCCAGCACGGGCUGCACUUCGAGACGAGGGGCCAUCAAGGGUUGUGCUCCCUAGAGCGGAAUCUCCCUCACCCAAGGAGGAGGAGGAGGAGGAGGAGGAGAGGCCAUUGGUGAGAUGGAGGGUCGUGUUCACGUCGGCUUCACCUGUGGUAAUGAAUUUGGACUCCCUCCAGCGGAUAC
rnacentral:lncRNA from 1 species